AAAGGCACAUUUGUCUAAAACAUGCUCUACAGUGAAAUUUGUAUCUAUAGAUCUCAUUUGGUAAAAUCUUGCAUCAUCCCUUCUAGUUGGUUCAACACCACAAAAAAUUGGUUUAACCUAUGGUAGCUGACAGAUGCAGAGAUGAGCCAUGGACCUGCAGUUCCCUGAUGCCCAGGUGCUCUUGUCCUGUUAGGGCAAGUCUGAACUUUCAAGGCUGGUGUUGAGUCACACCCAACCAAGCGGUGAAGGUCUAGACCACAUGUGAGCCCUCAGAGGGCUCUUGCUAAAAGUCUUAAAGUACUCCCAUGAGAAAUAGCACUCCUAAGGGCUGAAGAAAUGAUCCUGUGGCGUAACUUUACUGUAAGUAGAUUGAAUCAUCUUCCUUUCAUUUCUUAAUCUCUGGAUUUUACAAAUAUCUGUAACUGUGUUGUCUGUUUCGAAUGUCAUGAAUCAGUGCUUGCAUUUUUAUUUUUACCUUAAUCCAUCUUGUGCUAUAUGUGAUCUAAGAGUUCCGGAUAUCUGCCCAUCUACCUGACACACGAUAUUGUGAGCCUGCAAAUUAUGACCCUGGGGUUUCCCAGCACACCUGUCAGCACUCAUCAGAGGACAGAAGAGGUGUUGACAGCCUGCUCCAUGACCAACAUCAGCAGUGUAGGAAGAAUGCUGCCCACCUUCCCUGUAAGCAGACGCAUUGCUUCUGGCAUAAGACUUACAGCGCUCUCUUGAAGCAGUUUUUAUCAGUCAUUGUCUGGUAUAUCAUUGGAAGCUGCUGUCGCCUCACUUUGCUCAGUGGCACCUGGGAGAUGUCUCCGUUUCUCAGUGAAAGGAAAACUCCUGGCUCUUCACAGUCAUCUUCUCACUGAACUUAACUCAAUUAUCCUUAUUUCUUUUGAACAUGAAUGACAUCAUACUUGUCAAAAUGCAUGACUCCUGAAUUUGAGUCUGAAUUUAUUUCUUUGAAUGGUUAAGUGCUAUAUGAAAUACAUCAGUGGGGUCUAUAGUCAAUUCUUGUUAGAGGUAAGUGAAAACAACUUAUUCCAAAUUGUUACGUGUUUUAGUUGAGCAAAGAACCAUAAUCCUACAUCAAGGAAAAGAUAUUCUAGAUCCAAACAACUGACACUUUGUUGGUGUCUCACACAGAAGUUGUGAAGAGUCUCAGAGCUGAGACUACCUCCUGCAUCUCUGGAGAAAUAAUGGAUCACUAAACCAAGUAGCAUCCAUUGCACUACCUAAUCAUUCAGUUUAACAGUGAUGUGAACAUUAUGGAUAGACAGAGAAGAACAUAGUGUGACAGAUGUAAAAGUCAGCUGAAUUGUCAGCCAUGUGACAAUGUAGAGACUUUUAUUUACUGCCCGUGAAUUCUGUUUGACAGAGGAAGUUGUUAAGAGAACACAGUAUUUUUGAAUGCCUGUGUAAAAGUAUUUAUCUAACACUGCAAAUGAAUGUAGAUGAAAUUCCUCUUCACCUGCCAACCAGGAAAGUGUGUUGUUAAAACUUGUGGGCCACCUACAGAAACACUCUUGGUCAAGGGAUUAAAUGGAGUAAGAAGAGUUGAUUUCCUUUUUCUCAUCUGAAGAGAGAGGGCUGGAGAAAU
rnacentral:lncRNA from 1 species